UACGAAGGGGGCUAGCGUUGCUCGGAAUCACUGGGCGUAAAGCGCACGUAGGCGGCUUCUUAAGUCAGGGGUGAAAUCCUGGAGCUCAACUCCAGAACUGCCUUUGAUACUGAGAAGCUUGAGUCCGGGAGAGGUGAGUGGAACUGCGAGUGUAGAGGUGAAAUUCGUAGAUAUUCGCAAGAACACCCGUGGCGAAGGCGGUUCUCUGGGACGGUACUGACGCUGAGACGCGAAAGCGUGGGGAGCGAACAGG
rnacentral:rRNA from 1 species